CCCAUAUUCAGGGGCUAACUCUGCCAGCUGUGUGGUGAGAUGGAGCUGCCACCGCUUGAUCUGCUCAUCUGUAAUGAGGGAGUCUUAGAAGCUUCGCUCACCACAGUGAACUGUUGUAGGACUUAAAGGGAAGUGUCUACAAGGCACGCUGGGAACUGAAAAGGCCUUUCUGUAGAAUGAAACAACAUUUUCAAAACUCAUGAUUUAAGCCACAUUUCAGUUCUUGGCAGAUGGAACAGACCAACAGAUUCAUGUGCCGGACGCUUGGGAUGAAGCCACAAAUCCUGUAUGUUUCUCUAUUUCAUAGAAGAAGCUUUUCCAUUACAAAGAGGGAAGGAGAUGCGUAUAUGUGUGAAGACAACAAGACAAAACAUGGUGGGUCGAAUGAGACCUGAAGGCAGGACCUAGGAGCUUUGCCUACAGUUGGUUCUGCUUGUGUCUACAUUUGAAACUAACAAGGAGUUAGAUAGAGUUAGCCCCCA
rnacentral:lncRNA from 1 species